CGGGGUGUAGCGCAGCUUGGUUUAGCGCACCUGCUUUGGGAGCAGGGGGUCGGAGGUUCAAAUCCUCUCACCCCGACCA
rnacentral:tRNA from 1 species